CCUACGGGAGGCAGCAGUGAGGAAUAUUGGUCAAUGGGCGAGAGCCUGAACCAGCCAAGUAGCGUGAAGGAUGACUGCCCUAUGGGUUGUAAACUUCUUUUAUAAGGGAAUAAAAUGAAGCAUGUGUACCUUUUUGCAUGUACUUUAUGAAUAAGGAUCGGCUAACUCCGUGCCAGCAGCCGCGGUAAUACGGAGGAUCCGAGCGUUAUCCGGAUUUAUUGGGUUUAAAGGGAGCGUAGGCGGGUUGUUAAGUCAGGUGUGAAAGUUUGGGGCUCAACCGUAAAAUUGCAGUUGAUACUGGCAGUCUUGAGUACAGUAGAGGUAGGCGGAAUUCGUGGUGUAGCGGUGAAAUGCUUAGAUAUCACGAAGAACACCGAUUGCGAAGGCAGCUUACUGGACUGUGACUGACGUUGAUGCUCGAAAGUGUGGGUAGCAAACAGGAUUAGAUACCCCAGUAGUC
rnacentral:rRNA from 1 species